rnacentral:rRNA from 1 species
ACGCUGGCGGCAGGCCUAACACAUGCAAGUCGAGCGGUAGAGAGAAGCUUGCUUCUCUUGAGAGCGGCGGACGGGUGAGUAAUGCCUAGGAAUCUGCCUGGUAGUGGGGGAUAACGUCCGGAAACGGACGCUAAUACCGCAUACGUCCUACGGGAGAAAGCAGGGGACCUUCGGGCCUUGCGCUAUCAGAUGAGCCUAGGUCGGAUUAGCUAGUUGGUGGGGUAAUGGCUCACCAAGGCGACGAUCCGUAACUGGUCUGAGAGGAUGAUCAGUCACACUGGAACUGAGACACGGUCCAGACUCCUACGGGAGGCAGCAGUGGGGAAUAUUGGACAAUGGGCGAAAGCCUGAUCCAGCCAUGCCGCGUGUGUGAAGAAGGUCUUCGGAUUGUAAAGCACUUUAAGUUGGGAGGAAGGGCAGUUACCUAAUACGUGAUUGUUUUGACGUUACCGACAGAAUAAGCACCGGCUAACUCUGUGCCAGCAGCCGCGGUAAUACAGAGGGUGCAAGCGUUAAUCGGAAUUACUGGGCGUAAAGCGCGCGUAGGUGGUACGUUAAGUUGGAUGUGAAAUCCCCGGGCUCAACCUGGGAACUGCAUUCAAAACUGACGAGCUAGAGUAUGGUAGAGGGUGGUGGAAUUUCCUGUGUAGCGGUGAAAUGCGUAGAUAUAGGAAGGGACACCAGUGGCGAAGGCGACCACCUGGACUGAUACUGACACUGAGGUGCGAAAGCGUGGGGAGCAAAC